UACAGGGGGUGCAAACGUUGCUCGGAAUCAUUGGGCGUAAAGCGCACGUAGGCGGUUCGUUAUGUCGAAUGUGAAAGCCCUUGGCUUAACCGAGGAAGUGCAUCCGAAACUGGCGAGCUAGAGUACGAAAGAGGAUCGCGGAAUUCCCGGUGUAGAGGUGAAAUUCGUAGAUAUCGGGAGGAACACCGGUGGCGAAGGCGGCGAUCUGGGUCGAUACUGACGCUGAGGUGCGAAAGCGUGGGGAGCAAACAGG
rnacentral:rRNA from 1 species